AUACUUACUUGGACGGGGUCAAUGAGUGAUCAAAAAGGCCCAUGGCCUAGGUUGGUGACUUCCAUUGCACUUUGAAGGGGUGUCUAUCUAAGAUCGAUCCAAGUGGUCGAGCUUACGUCAUAAUUUGUGGUAGCGGAGGCCUGCGUUCGCACGACCCCUAC
rnacentral:snRNA from 1 species